UGGGUGGACAGGACCCAGAGAAGUCAGUGAUGGUGGGGAACUGGGCUGCACUUUGGGGCUUCUGACACGGGGAACCCGUUACUGUCCUGAGACCCAGUGGGCAGGGUCUGGAGAGGGCGGCUCUAGACACGGCCGCCUGCUGGGCCGGGGCCUGCGGUGGAUGACCCCGACGCCCCAUGGUGACUCAGGGUGGCCGUGGGCACAGAUACCCUGCGUUCGCUCAUCUGCUCUCCCCGCACAGCCUGGACCCCGGUAGGGAAAGAAGACCACUCACCUUGUAGUCACCUUCUUCCUGUCAUGGAGGUGACCCACCGCCGUGCUUUCAGAAGGCACGCCAAAUAAAGCAGAAGACCAAAAUCAGUCAUCCCACCCCCUGGCAUAAGUGAACAUGGAUAUUUUAGAAAUA